rnacentral:miRNA from 1 species
CUAAUAUGUAUCGAAGGGAGUAGC